rnacentral:rRNA from 1 species
AGCUCCAGUAGCGUAUAUUAAAGUUGUUGCAGUUAAAAAGCUCGUAGUUGGAUUUCUGGCAUGGCAGAGCUGGCCUGGCUUCUAAAGUCUCGUGCCGGCCUCUGUCAGCCAUCCUUUCAGAGAACGGUAGUUUCCUUCAUUGGUGACUGCUGCAAUCUGGAACUUUUACUUUGAAAAAAUUAGAGUGUUCAAAGCAGGCAUUUCGCUAUGAAUACAUUAGCAUGGAAUAAUAAUUUAGGACUUCGGCCCUAUUUUGUUGGUUCUAGGACCGAAGUAAUGAUUGAUAGGGAUAGUUGGGGGUGCUACUACUCAGCGGCCAGAGGUGAAAUUCUUGGAUUCGCUGAAGAGUAACUUAUGCGAAAGCAUUCACCAAGGAUGUCUUCU